rnacentral:rRNA from 1 species
GUGAGGAAUAUUGGACAAUGGGCGCAAGCCUGAUCCAGCCAUGCCGCGUGCAGGAAGACGCAUCUAUGGUGUGUAAACUGCUUUUGUACGGGAAGAAACACUCCCUCGUGAGGGAGCUUGACGGUACCGUAAGAAUAAGGAUCGGCUAACUCCGUGCCAGCAGCCGCGGUAAUACGGAGGAUCCAAGCGUUAUCCGGAAUCAUUGGGUUUAAAGGGUCCGUAGGCGGUUUAAUAAGUCAGUGGUGAAAGCCCAUCGCUCAACGAUGGAACGGGCAUUGAUACUGUUAGACUUGAAUUACAAGGAAGUAACUAGAAUAUGUAGUGUAGCGGUGAAAUGCUUAGAUAUUACAUGGAAUACCAAUUGCGAAGGCAGGUUACUACUUGUGGAUUGACGCUGAUGGACGAAAGCGUGGGGAGCGAACAGGAUUAGAAACCCCUGUAGUCC